rnacentral:rRNA from 1 species
AACCUCCGCAAUGUGAGAAAUCGCGACGGGGGGAUCCCAAGUGCCAUUCUUAACGGGAUGGCUUUUCAUUAGUGUAAAGAGCUUUUGGAAUAAGAGCUGGGCAAGACCGGUGCCAGCCGCCGCGGUAACACCGGCAGCUCUAGUGGUAGCUGUUUUUAUUGGGCCUAAAGCGUUCGUAGCCGGUUUGAUAAGUCACUGGUGAAAUCCUGUAGCUUAACUGUGGGAAUUGCUGGUGAUACUGUUGAACUUGAGGUCGGGAGAGGUUAGCGGUACUCCCAGGGUAGAGGUGAAAUUCUGUAAUCCUGGGAGGACCACCUGUGGCGAAGGCGGCUAACUGGAACGAACCUGACGGUGAGGGACGAAAGCUAGGGGCGCGAACCGGAUUAGAUACCCGGGUAGUCCUAGCCGUAAACGAUGCGGACUUGGUGUUGGGAUGGCUUUGAGCCGCUCCGGUGCCGAAGGGAAGCUGUUAAGUCCGCCGCCCGGGAAGUACGGUCGCAAGACUGAAACUUAAAGGAAUU